CCUACGGGUGGCAGCAGUGGGGAAUAUUGCACAAUGGGGGAAACCCUGAUGCAGCGACGCCGCGUGCGUGAAGACGUAUCUCGGUAUGUAAAGCUCUAUCAGUAGGGAAGAAAAUGACGGUACCUGAUUAAGAAGCCACGGCUAACUACGUGCCAGCAGCCGCGGUAAUACGUAGGGGGCAAGCGUUAUCCGGAUUUACUGGGUGUUAAGGGAGCGUAGGCGGCAGCACAAGUCUGGAGUGAAAUGCCGGGGCUGAACCCCGGAACUGCUUUGGAAACUGUGGAGCUAGAGUGCAGGUGAGGCAAGUGGAAUGCGUAGUGUAGCGGUGAAAUGCGUAGAUAUUAGGAAGAACACCAAUUGCGAAGGCAGCUUACUGGACUGGAACUGACGUUGAGGCUCGAAAGCGUGGGGAGCGAACAGGAUUAGAUACCCCAGUAGUC
rnacentral:rRNA from 1 species